rnacentral:rRNA from 1 species
AUUGAACGCUGGCGGCAGGCCUAACACAUGCAAGUCGAGCGAGCGGCGGACGGGUGAGAAAUGUCUGGGAAGCGCCCAGUCGAGGGGGAUAACAGUUGGAAACGACUGCUAAUACCGCAUACGAUGGGAUUCCACAGGUGGGAUGAGCUAGUUGGGGGGGUAAUGGCCCACCAAGGCGACGCUCCCUAGCGGGUCUGAGAGGAUGAUCAGCCACACUGGAACUGAGACACGGGCCAGACUCCUACGGGAGGCAGCAGGGGGGAAUAUUGCACAAUGGGGGAAACCCUGAUGCAGCCAUGCCGCGUGUGUGAAGAAGGCCUUCGGGUUGUAAAGCACUUUCAGCGAGGAGGCGUUACUCGCAGAAGAAGCACCGGCUAACUCCGUGCCAGCAGCCGCGGUAAUAC